UACGUAGGGCGCAAGCGUUGUCCGGAAUUAUUGGGCGUAAAGAGCUCGUAGGCGGUCUGUCGCGUCUGCCGUGAAAACCCGAGGCUUAACCUCGGGCUGGCGGUGGAUACGGGCAGACUAGAGGUAGGUAGGGGAGAAUGGAAUUCCCGGUGUAGCGGUGAAAUGCGCAGAUAUCAGGAGGAACACCGGUGGCGAAGGCGGUUCUCUGGGCAUUACCUGACGCUGAGGAGCGAAAGUGUGGGGAGCGAAACAGG
rnacentral:rRNA from 1 species